CCUACGGGGGGCAGCAGUGGGGAAUAUUGGACAAUGGCCGAGAGGCUGAACCAGCCAAGUCGCGUGAGGGAAGACGGCCCUACGGGUUGUAAACAUCUUUUGUCGGGGAGCAAAGAGAGUCACGUGUGACUCAUUGAGAGUACCCGACGAAAAAGCAUAGGCUAACUCCGUGCCAGCAGCCGCGGUAAGACGGAGGAUGCGAGGGUUAUCCGGAUUUAUAGGGGUUAGAGGGUGCGCAGGUGGAGGUGCAAGUCCGCGGUCAAAUUGCGGGGCUCAACCCCGUACUGCAGUUGAAACUGCAUCCCUAGAGUGCGCGAGAAGUAUGCGGAAUGCGAGGUGUAGCGGUGAAAUGCGUAGAUAUCACGCAGAACUCCGAUUGCGAAGGCAGCAUACCGGCGAGCAACUGACGCUCAUGCACGAAAGCGUGGGUAGCGAACAGGAUUAGAUACCCGAGUAGUC
rnacentral:rRNA from 1 species